rnacentral:rRNA from 1 species
AUUGAACGCUGGCGGCAUGCCUUACACAUGCAAGUCGAACGGCAGCACGGGAGCAAUCCUGGUGGCGAGUGGCGAACGGGUGAGUAAUAUAUCGGAACGUGCCAUUGGAGUGGGGGAUAACGUAGCGAAAGUUGCGCUAAUACCGCAUAUUCUGUGAGCAGGAAAGCAGGGGACCGCAAAGGCCUUGCGCUCUUUGAGCGGCCGAUGUCAGAUUAGCUAGUUGGUGAGGUAAAGGCUUACCAAGGCGACGAUCUGUAGCGGGUCUGAGAGGAUGAUCCGCCACACUGGAACUGAGACACGGUCCAGACUCCUACGGGUGCAG